rnacentral:lncRNA from 1 species
AGAAAAAAAAAUUAUGAUUGUCUUGCUAUGACAAUGACAAUGACAAUUUCAGUAUUAUAAUCAAUACUCACUAGCGCUAGUGGUAAAGAGAUUGAUAGUUGAUACUCGAGAUUUUAAAUUCGAAUCUUAAUUAAUUUAUAUUUUCAACUUAAUUUAUUCCUAAAAAAUAAAUAAAAUAAAUAAUAUGCCAAAAAAAUAAACGAAACAGUUAGUGGGUUAUCUUU